rnacentral:rRNA from 1 species
AGGGGUUUAAUAUAAUUAUAAAAUCUACUGAUUCCAGUGGGGUAUAUUGGACAAUGGGGGCAACCGAGAUCCAGCCAUGCCGCGUGAGUGAAGAAGGCCUUCGGGUUGUAAAUCUUUUUCAGAGGCGAAGAUGAUGACGGUAACAUCAGAAGAAGCCCCGGUUAAUUUCGUGCCAGCAGCCGCUGUAAUACGAGGGGGGCAAGCGUUUUCGGAUUUACUGGGUAUAGAGCGCACGCAGGCGGUCUUGCCAGUCAGGGGUGAAAGCCCGGGGCUCAACCCCGGAACUGCCUCUGAUACUGCAAGACUAGAGACUAGGAGAGGGUGGUGGAAUUCCCAGUGUAGAGGUGAAAUUCGUAGAUAUUGGGAGGAACACCAGAGGCGAAGGCGGCCACCUGGACUAGAUCUGACGCUCAGGUGAGAAAGCGGGGGAGCAAACAGGAUUAGAUCCCCUGGUAGUCCGCGCCGUAAACGAUGAGUGCUAGUGUCGGGAUUCGGUUCGGUGACGCAGCUAACGCAUUAAGCACUCCGCCUGG